UACGGAGGGAGCUAGCGUUGUUCGGAAUUACUGGGCGUAAAGCGUGCGCAGGCGGUUGUGCAAGACCGAUGUGAAAUCCCCGGGCUUAACCUGGGAAUGGCAUUGGUGACUGCACGGCUAGAGUGUGUCAGAGGGGGGUAGAAUUCCACGUGUAGCAGUGAAAUGCGUAGAGAUGUGGAGGAAUACCGAUGGCGAAGGCAGCCCCCUGGGAUAACACUGACGCCUCAUGCACGAAAGCGUGGGGAGCAAACAGG
rnacentral:rRNA from 1 species